GAUGAAGAACGUAGCGAAAUGCGAUAAGUAAUGUGAAUUGCAGAAUUCAGUGAAUCAUCGAAUCUUUGAACGCACAUUGCGCCCGCUAGUAUUCUGGCGGGCAUGCCUGUCCGAGCGUCAUUUCAACCCUCAAGCCCCCGGGCUUGGUGUUGGGGAUCGGCGAGCCUCCGCGCCCGCCGUCCCCUAAAUCUAGUGGCGGUCUCGCUGUAGCUUCCUCUGCGUAGUAGCAUACCUCGCACUGGGAAACAGCGCGGCCACGCCGUUAAACCCCCAACUUCUGAACGUUUGACCUCGGAUCAGGUAGGAAUACCCGCUGAACUUAAGCAUAUCAAUAAGCGGAGGA
rnacentral:misc_RNA from 1 species